AUUGAACGCUGGCGGCAUGCCUUACACAUGCAAGUCGAACGGCAGCACGGGAGCAAUCCUGGUGGCGAGUGGCGAACGGGUGAGUAAAGUAUCGGAACGUGCCCAGUCGUGGGGGAUAACGUAGCGAAAGUUACGCUAAUACCGCAUACGAUCUAUGGAUGAAAGCGGGGGAUCGCAAGACCUCGCGCGAUUGGAGCGGCCGAUAUCAGAUUAGGUAGUUGGUGGGGUAAAGGCUCACCAAGCCGACGAUCUGUAGCUGGUCUGAGAGGACGACCAGCCACACUGGGACUGAGACACGGCCCAGACUCCUACGGGAGGCAGCAGUGGGGAAUUUUGGACAAUGGGCGAAAGCCUGAUCCAGCCAUGCCGCGUGCAGGAUGAAGGCCUUCGGGUUGUAAACUGCUUUUGUACGGGACGAAAAGGUUUGGCCUAAUAAGCUGAGCUCAUGACGGUACCGUAAGAAUAAGCACCGGCUAACUACGCGCCAGCAGCCGCGGUAA
rnacentral:rRNA from 1 species